UGUGUACAGGACUACAGUGUUAAUUCCCCAUAUCCCAUUAGAACUUUGAAAUUAAGUGUGCUUGGGAUAAAUUAUUAAUGGGACGGGUGACCUCCCGAAAAGUCCUAGUGUUUUACAUGC
rnacentral:rRNA from 1 species